rnacentral:rRNA from 1 species
AGCGAACGCUGGCGGCAGGCUUAACACAUGCCAGUCGAGCGGGCACUUCGGUGUCAGCGGCAGACGGGUGAGUAACACGUGGGAACGUACCCUUUGGUUCGGAAUAACGCUGGGAAACUAGCGCUAAUACCGGAUACGCCCUUUUGGGGAAAGGCUUGCUGCUGAAGGAUCGGCCCGCGUCUGAUUAGCUAGUUGGUGGGGUAAUGGCCUACCAAGGCGACGAUCAGUAGCUGGUCUGAGAGGAUGAUCAGCCACACUGGGACUGAGACACGGCCCAGACUCCUACGGGAGGCAGCAGUGGGGAAUAUUGGACAAUGGGCGCAAGCCUGAUCCAGCCAUGCCGCGUGAGUGAUGAAGGCCUUAGGGUUGUAAAGCUCUUUUGUCCGGGACGAUAAUGACGGUACCGGAAGAAUAAGCCCCGGCUAACUUCGUG